CCCUUCUCCAGUGGAUCCUCCUGACCCAAGGAUUGAACCUGGCUGUCCCGCAUUGCAGGCAGAUUCUUUGCCAUCUAAGCCACCAAGGAUCCCUAAUCAGGGUGUAGACCACAGGGUUCAGAAGGGGCGUCAUCACAGAGCAGAAAACAGCCACAAUCCUGUCCACAACCUCCUUGGAGCCUGGUCUCAGGUGAUGACCUCACAACAGAAGACAAUUCCAUCAAAUACCUGAUGCAUAUUUAAAACCUACUACCUGUGACAAGGAUAGAAAUGGUAUGGACCUAACAGAAGCAGAAGAUGUUAAGAAGA
ensembl:lncRNA